rnacentral:misc_RNA from 1 species
UCAAAGAUUCAAUUUAACAUGAUGUCCUAUGACAAACUCUUAAAAAGCAUAUAUAUCAAAAACAAAAUUUUGCUUUAAUCAUCGUUUUACUCUUUCUGAUCCAACGGUUUUGUUGAAAUUGAUUCUCUUUCCGGAUGGUGACGCCUCCACUUCACUUUGGGCAAAGCCAUGAUCCAACACGGAACCUCACAGCCUGAGGCUGCCAUUACAUUAGCAAUAUUACGCAAAAGUGGAACAUCAUCUUCUGUGUAGAAAGUAAUAGCUUCUCCAGUCCUCCCUGCUCUGCCAGACCGACCAAUCCUAUGAAUAUAUGCAGCAGCAG